rnacentral:misc_RNA from 1 species
GAAAUGCGAUAAGUAAUGUGAAUUGCAGAAUUCCGUGAAUCAUCGAAUCUUUGAACGCACAUUGCGCCCCCUGGCAUUCCGGGGGGCAUGCCUGUCCGAGCGUCAUUUCUGCCCUCAAGCGCGGCUUGUGUGUUGGGUGCGGUCCCCCCGGGGACCUGCCCGAAAGGCAGCGGCGACGUCCGUUUGGGUCCUCGAGCGUAUGGGGCUUUGUCACUCGCUCGGGACGGACCCGCGGGGGUUGGUCACCACCACAAUUUUACCACGGUUGACCUCGGAUCAGGUAGGAAUACCCGCUGAACUUAA